rnacentral:rRNA from 1 species
AGCAUAUCAAUAAGCGGAGGAAAAGAAACUAACAAGGAUUCCCCUAGUAACGGCGAGUGAAGCGGGAAGAGCUCAAAUUUGAAAUCUGGUGGCCUCAGGUCAUCCGAGUUGUAAUCUAUAGAAGUGUUUUCCGUGCUGGCUCAUGUACAAGUCCCUUGGAACAGGGCGUCAUAGAGGGUGAGAAUCCCGUCCUUGACAUGAACUACCAGUGCUCUGUGAUACAUUUUCAACGAGUCGAGUUGUUUGGGAAUGCAGCUCAAAAUGGGUGGUAAAUUCCAUCUAAAGCUAAAUAUUGGCGAGAGACCGAUAGCGAACAAGUACCGUGAGGGAAAGAUGAAAAGCACUUUGGAAAGAGAGUUAAACAGUAUGUGAAAUUGUUGAAAGGGAAACGAUUGAAGUCAGUCGUGCUCUUUGGAUUCAGCCGGUUCUGCCGGUGUACUUCCUUUGAGUGGGGUCAACAUCAGUUUUGAUCGCUGGAUAAAGGCUGGAGGAACGUAGUACCCUCGGGUAAACUUAUAGCCUCCUGUCACAUACAGUGGUUGGGACUGAGGAACGCAGCACGCCUUUAUGGCCGGGAUUCGUCCACGUACGUGCUUAGGAUGUUGACAUAAUGGCUUUAAACGACCCG